UCAUAUGUAGUAAGGCAAAUAGCACUCUUGGCUUACUUAGAAGAAUCCUUGGUGAAUGUAGCGCUGCUGUUAAGUCAAGAGCGUAUACUAGUCUUGUCCGUCCACAACUUGAGUAUGCUUCUACAGUCUGGAACCCUUACACCAAGAGGAACAUCAACAAGAUCGAGAUGGUUCAACGCAGAGCUGCUAGAUUUGUCUUCAAUGACUAUUCCAGAGCUAGCCACGUCUCUCCAAUGAUCGACCAUCUGGGUUGGGACAAUCUCCAACAACGGCGACUGCUACACCAAGCCUCUAUGUUCUACAAGAUCUAUCAAGGCCUUGUUGGAAUCAGUCUUCCUGAUGACGUGUGUCCUUUGACUAGAGCAUCCAGGCUGCCUAAUAUCUGUCCUUACCGCCAAAUUCAGUCGUGUGUCAAUGUAUAUAAGUUUUCAUUUUAUCCAAGAACAAUCGUUACCUGGAAUCACAUCCCAUUUAACAAUCUUUGCCAAUCAACCUCAAGUUUCAAAACACUUGCCAUGCCUUCAAUUAAGUCACUUAAUGUAGCUAAUUAGUAUCGUUUUGAAUCGUUUGUAUUGUACUAUAUGUUCGUUUUGUAGUCUUAGAGUUGUUGUCGUUGUUGUUAUUGUCGUUUGUCGCUUUUGCCAUUGUUGUUGUUAAUAACAUAUAACAACAUCAUUCUAUAAUCACCGCCUAAUAUAUGUGUCAUACAGUGAUUAUGAAGACUAAUUUCUUGUAAAUAAAUAUUAUCUAGUUUUUCAGUAUAUAUAACUCCU